rnacentral:rRNA from 1 species
GACGAACGCUGGCGGCGUGCUUAACACAUGCAAGUCGAACGGAAAGGCCCUGCUUUUGUGGGGUGCUCGAGUGGCGAACGGGUGAGUAACACGUGAGUAACCUGCCCUUGACUUUGGGAUAACUUCAGGAAACUGGGGCUAAUACCGGAUAGGAGCUCCUGCUGCAUGGUGGGGGUUGGAAAGUUUCGGCGGUUGGGGAUGGGCUCGCGGCUUAUCAGCUUGUUGGUGGGGUAGUGGCUUACCAAGGCUUUGACGGGUAGCCGGCCUGAGAGGGUGACCGGCCACAUUGGGACUGAGAGACGGCCCAGACUCCUACGGGAGGCAGCAGUGGGGAAUAUUGCACAAUGGGCGGAAGCCUGAUGCAGCAACGCCGCGUGCGGGAUGACGGCCUUCGGGUUGUAAACCGCUUUCGCCUGUGACGAAGCGUGAGUGACGGUAAUGGGUAAAGAAGCACCGGCUAACUACGUG